UUCUAUCAGUCAGUUGCAGAAAACUGUCUUUAAAAUCGACAUUAGUUAAUCCGUCAUUAUCGCUAAUAUUCCAUUAAAUUUAAAGACGUUGCACAAAACUGUUGCGGGUCCCUUUAAUAGGACUUUAACUAAAGAAGACAUUAAAAAGUGUUGCAAGUUAAAACACAUAUUUUGAAUGAACUGAUUACGUAGUAUUUGUAUACUCUGUGGAACUGAUUGAAUGUAAAUUGUCAUUAAGGAUGGAAGGAUGCGAAUCCCGCUUCGAAAGAAACCGAUUUUUUAAAAUGACGAUUUAUCGAUCGUGACUCGAUUUAUUUCAUGUAGUUAAAAGACACUAUAAAAAUCAAUACAAUACCAUUUGUUACUACUUAGUUACUUGUAAACUAAGACUUAGUUAUGAGUUUUUCCAGAGCUAAUCACAUUUUUUACGUAAUACCUAUAUCUAUAUUUUGUAUUUUAUUAAAUAUCUCUAUAUUUAAUAGAUUAGGUAUAUGUGUUAUUUUAAUUAGCUACUAUUAAAUGUAUUUUGAAGUGUCUUAAUAGUGGAAUACGUAUAAAUAUCUAAUUUUCUUCUAAUUCCCUGAACCGAUUCAAUUAAUGUGUUCCGAUUUAAAAUAGGUAUCAACCUUUUUGGUUCGCGGGAAUAAAAUCCUAGAUGACCAUUGACCAGCCCUAGUUGUCAAUAAUGUCAUCAUGAGCGUUUCUGUCAUCUCUGUAUUUAGGAAAAAUCCUAAUUUUUUACGAUAAAAAUAUUAUCAAUUGCUUUAAUGUGGUGUUGAAUUAUCUUUCAUUGGUAUCGUAACACCGUUUGUAAGAGAGAAGAUUUAAUGUAGCUUCUAGGUGUUUGUUAUUGUUGUGAUCAAUUGAGAAUUGGACUCGUCUCGAGUUUUCCUUUUGUAGAAAGAAUUUUCAGUAUUAUUCAUUAACCAUGGUAUCUGAUGCAACACAGGCUGGUUCAGGCAGUAUGCAUCGCCCUUUUACUAACUUUUUAAGCAAAGAAUUAACCAAAGAAUGGUAUAAUAUUGCACCCACAGAGGAAGUACGAAUUACCCCCAGGUGGCUUGGUAUUUUAGUAAAAUAAAUAUAUAAUAAAAUAAAUUAAUUUAAAACAAGAUAAGUCGUUUUAUUUAUUCUUAAAAAUAACUACUUAAUAGUUAACACUUCUUUAGCAUUUACCCAGUCUCUAUAAAGAACAAGGUAUAUACAUCUAUUAAUACACCUAUUCCCCGAGCAUGAUAUGGAAAUACCUAAGGAAGGCCUAUGUUUGGCAGGAAGCUGAUCUUCGGCAGAUCCAGUAGCGAAGAAUCACAAACAUCUAUAUGACGAAAAUUGCGCGGACGUAGGAGCAUAAAAUUUGGUACACUUAUAGUUUAUGUGUAGGAGAAGUGCAGAACGCUAAUAUUUUUCAUAAAUAAUGCUUAUAAAGUACAUUCAUAAUCAAUAAAUAAAUAAAUCAAUAAAUAAAACAUUACACACACUACCAUGCAUAGUAGGGGAAGGUAGGGUAAUUGAGAACGGCGGGUAAUUGGGAACACGUUGAUAAGUUCCACUUCCCCUCCCCGUAUCCCGUCUCGCGGCUAUUCGAGGUAUGCUUCCCCCGCCCCUAAGUGCGCAAGCGACAGUGGGAACUGGAGGAUGCACGCAUCUUGACACGGUGAGUCAAAAUGUUUUUAUUGCAUUUUUGUUAUAAAUUUUGUGUUUUCAUACAUUAGAUGCAAAUGUCAUAUUUUUGAGUACAAUGACACCAUAUUUCGUAAGUUUAUUUCAUGGAUAAUCCGUUUUAAAAUUUUACGUGUUAUAGGAUUCACUUAUAAUGCUAUCGAAGGUCGCGACCAUUUUUAUUCAAAUUAUCGACUGCCGGUAAUUAGGAACGAUGAGGCGAGACGUUGAUGCAGCCAGACUGAACCAGACACCACCAGUUCAAAUAUCAGAUUCACAUGACCACGAUAAAGCUUUGGGCACAUGUGCAAUGCACUUCCAGAGAGACCAGCAAAAGUUACGUGUGUGAUAUGUGUCAUGAAAUGAAAAAAUAUUUUUUUCCGUUAUAAGCAGACAGAUAAAUAAUGUUUUUAAGUUUUAAUAAAAGUUGAUUCCUUUUUUAAGAGAAAAUACUUUUUUUGCCUUUUAAGUUAAGUGUUCCUAAUUCCCCCACCUUCCCCUAUCGUAUUUGACAAAACGUCAAAUUGACAGACAUUGCGAUGAUAUUAAAAGAAGAAGAAAUUAAAAGAGGUUUCUCAUUGAAGGAGGUUAAUAUAAUGAAGAGGUUGGUUAUUCAUAAUGCGCCGGAAUAUAUUAAUUUGAAUUUUACAAAACGAAUAGCAAUUCGUUAAAUAAAAAUUAUCCUUGAACGUAUGUUAAGUGGUAUUGUAAAUUAAAUCGUAUAUGGUCGAAUUUUGACCACUAGGCGACCACUAGUAUCAAUAACUAUGUGAGGCCAUCAAUAGUCAAUAAUAAUAAUCAAAUUGAGUAUCUCGCAAAUGCGUAAAGCUGUAGAAAUCCUGUAUCUCACACGAAACUCUUCUCCGUCAUGUUUUUCAAAUAAAUUUAUCCUAUCUGGUACACGACGUCGUCGUGGAAGGAGCGAAUAAAGAUGAUAGGCUUGAAAGGGACAUUAUAAAUAAUACUGUAAUAAAGUAAAAAAAUAUUACUAGCACUAUUUACAAAAGAAUUCAGAGUUUAAUAACAAGUUUAAUGGAUGUUUGACUAGGCAUUAAAAAUUAUAACCCCAAACUGUCAAUUUAAUGCUCCUUUAGCGCUAAUGACGUUUUGUGCAACGUAAAAAAUAGGCUAAAGUCCCGAUUUGACGUUUCUUUAAUUAAAGUUAAUCCGGCAUUAAAAUGAGAUAGAAAUACUUCUUUGUGCAACACUUUAAAGCUUCAUUAAUAUUUAAAGUCACUUUAAAAAUUUAAUGAUCGUUCCUGCAACUGACUGUAUGUCUGUUAGAAGUGCCUUAUACUUUUGAUGAUCUGUCAGUCAGUGACAAAAUUUCGAAACUUUGACGUGUUAUAAUUCUUAAAUUAAUGGUUAAAAUU